rnacentral:rRNA from 1 species
AGAGUUUGAUCCUGGCUCAGGACGAACGCUGGCGGCGUGCCUAACACAUGCAAGUCGAACGAAGCUUGAUGAUGGAUUCUUCGGAAGAAAUCUGAUAUGACUGAGUGGCGGACGGGUGAGUAACGCGUGAGUAACCUGCCCUUAGGAAAGGGAUAGCGUCUGGAAACGGACGGUAAUACCAUAUAAAGUAUAUUAACGGCAUCGUAGAUAUACCAAAGCUGAGGCGCCUAAGGAUGGACUCGCGUCUGAUUAGAUAGUUGUGGGGUAACGGCCUACCAAGUCGACGAUCAGUAGCCGGACUGAGAGGUUGAACGGCCACAUUGGGACUGAGACACGGCCCAGACUCCUACGGGAGGCAGCAGUGGGGAAUAUUGCACAAUGGGCGAAAGCCUGAUGCAGCAACGCCGCGUGAAGGAAGACGGUUUUCGGAUUGUAAACUUCUGUUCUUAGUGAAGAAUAAUGACGGUAACUAAGGAGCAAGCCACGGCUAACUACGUG